CAACGUGAAAUCGAAAUUUUCCGACUAUUUCCAUGGAAAUACAUCUCUCCUCAGAAUUGUGAUACUAAAAUUAAAUCUGCAUUCUAUCUGCAUGACAAUGAAAAGCUGGUGCUAUUUUAAUAAUAAGCUCGAUAAAUCUCUAGGACGGCUUUUAAUAAUUUAGUUCGUGACUUAACCUAUUCAAACCUGUGGUACGAAGGUUAGCAUUUAGGUAAGAAAUUUAUCAUUGACCACAUUCAAUGGAUUCAAUGUUUUCUGCAAUAGACGAAUAUACAUAUCACUGCCUUGUGAAAUUUAAGUGUUGGACAAUCUACUUCAAAACUACCUUCACAAUUUUCUACGCUGUGAA